GGGAUCACGAAGACACCUCCUGAGAAGAAGAAGAGUCAAGCCUCCAGUCAGCAGACCCGCCAGUAGCCCACCUGGCUGGGUCACGCUAGUGUAUCCGAGAGUCUGAGAUAGAGAGUGACGGCGUGUGUUGGAGUAGGACGGUGGUUACCACCCUAUGUUAGUGUAACGAGGUUGUUAAUAAACAGUGCUGCCUCCCAAGAAGUGUGUACGCCUAUCUGAGCCCAUUACAGUCGUAAGUGGUACAAUGGUGACACGUACAGUACGUAUAUUGUUCAUAUACAGUACAGUCGAUGGUAUAGAAAGACAUACAGCUUAAGAUUAAAGUAAUAUGCGAAUAGUGAAGUGCAAAGGUCAUUGUCAAAAACAACGAUGGCUUAUCAGUAGUAGAAUUGGGUUUAAGAAAACUGUUAUUGAAUAACCGGACGUGUACACCAGUCAUAUGAUUAAUGGCGACUCGGUUCAAUAAAUUUUGUUUGUGACACACGUGCUGUUGCAUCUUAAAGAUUAACCACAAUAAAUGUGUUUGCCCUCGAUUUGGAGCACCUGCCCACGUCCUUCAUUUCGAAGGUGCAACAUGCAGACCCCAGUCCCCCAAGAGGGGGGCUGGGGGGAUGACGUCACACUCCAGGUCCCGCUCGAAGGUUCGAGAAGGAAGGCGUGGUUAGGGGUGGAGAGAGCUGGGACUGUGUAUAAAAACCGGACCCAUGAACGGGUCCGGCUGUUGUUGUCCACUGAAGAUCCGAAAACGCCACCCUGAAGACCUGGAGCCAAGGCCAGGACCCGAGGACCUUGGCUGGGUCGGGUCAGAGUUAUCCUCCCUAGACGCCGUUAGCUGGAGGACCGAUACUAGAGCUGUUCCCCCAGUAUGUAGGACACGCUAGCCCGGAGGACAUACCUCCCUAUAGUAUCGGGUGAAAGGGGCCGUUACCCCUUUGUAUCAGGGAUUGUUAUCGUUAUUGUUAAAUAAACGUGUUGCCUCCAGAGAAGUCUCUCCAUUUGUACCCACUACACAUGUGCAAGGACUGGAUGGAAAGUUGCACCGCAUAAUUGUGAGAGAUGACUGCGACUUGAGAAGGCCUUGAUCCAGCAGUGGAUGUAUCAUGAAAUGAAGCACACUGCGUUAUAAAUAUGCCACCCGAGUUCAAUUCGCGCUCAUGUCUAACAGCAGUUAUCUGAAACGAACCUGGGUUUCCGCUUGGUCGAUACAGCCUUAAAUAAGUAGCUAGAUUCUGAGUACCAAAUGUCCGAUUUCCACCGGAAUUUACACACAGGCAUUGCAUACAUUUCCACGAGAAUUUACGAGUGAUAUCGAGCAGUUCCCCACGCACCUGGAGAGCCCCACCCUCACCUGGGUGCUCGCAUAUAAAAGUGCGCGCAUCGCUGCGAUCCUCACAUCAGCGGCUCCAGAUUCGACCUUCCAGUUGCUCACGGAUCACCAACGACUUCAGCCAUGGACCGGGAAUCACAGGUGGAAGCUAAUUUCGAACCAAUUGACAUGGACAACGACGGCUUCAUUUCGUUUGCCGACUACCAUGACUUCUUGGAAAUGAACGGUGUGGAUCAAGACUGCACCAGUGUGGACAAAAACAAAGAUGGCAAGAUCUCUUUCGAAGAGUUUUCUCAAUUCUACAAGAAGGACUCUGACAAGCAGAAGGAGAAGCUGAAGCUGAAAAAGUGAACUCCAAGGACAUGGCUGCGGGGUGAAAGGGUUGCUCUUAGUUUUUGCUUCUUAAUCAUCAUGACCAGUGUCAACCCUACUACUAAGUAUUAGGCAUGUAAUCAUGUAUUUAUUCAUUAAAAUGAAUUCUUACUCUCUCAUUCAUGCCUCCAAUCGGUCGUGCAAGAAUCAGACAUUUAAAUGGCAUUGCAUAUUAUAUGCAAACAUUAUCUUUAUGCUGAGCAAAUUUAAUUAUAUGAAUGAGAUUAAAUAUAUUACAAUAAGACCUAAAAAAGGAAUUGAUUAUUGAAUAUAAUAGAGAAUUGACAUUUCACUGAAUCAGAGGGUAAUCUUUACAUGCCUAAUAAAAAAAAACUACUGCUGCUAUUUAUAGCUAUUACUACAUAUAUGUGACACUACUGCUAAUUAGCACAACCACUAAUGCUCCAUUUAAAUGUACUUUUAGUACAAAGCAUUUCAAUAAUCUUUCAGAUGUAUUGUGCUGUAUGACGUCCAGGCACCAUUAUCGCAAAUUGCACAAUGACACGAACUCGAACGAGGCAUAAUGCAUCCAUUCAAUACGGAAUAAACACCUCAGUGCAGUACACGUACUCUCAAAUACCAGUCACAGAUCACUCUUGAACAACACUACAUUCAGAAUGCUGGACGUGGCUUGGUAACCUGAAAGGCAGCAGUGUACAGAAUGCUAACACGGUUCUGUCUGCAAAUACAGCCCAGCGUUCUGAUGGAUGGAUUUUUACACAUGCAAUGAAAUAAAC